rnacentral:rRNA from 1 species
CUUCCCUACGGGGCGCAGCAGUGGGGAAUAUUGGGCAAUGGGCGCAAGCCUGAACCAGCCAAGUAGCGUGAAGGAUGACUGCCCUACGGGUUGUAAACUUCUUUUAUAAAGGAAUAAAGUGAGGCACGUGUGCCUUUUUGUAUGUACUUUAUGAAUAAGGAUCGGCUAACUCCGUGCCAGCAGCCGCGGUAAUACGGAGGAUCCGAGCGUUAUCCGGAUUUAUUGGGUUUAAAGGGAGCGUAGAUGGGUUGUUAAGUCAGUUGUGAAAGUUUGCGGCUCAGCCGUAAAAUUGCAAUU